CACGUAGGGUGCGAGCGUUGUCCGGAAUUAUUGGGCGUAAAGAGCUCGUAGGCGGUGUGUCGCGUCGGCCGUGAAAACCUGCAGCUUAACUGUGGGCUUGCGGUCGAUACGGGCAUCACUGGAGUUCGGCAGGGGGAGACUGGAAUUCCUGGUGUAGCGGGUGGAAUGCGCAGAUAUCAGGAGGAACACCGAAUGGCGAAGGGCAGGGUCUCCUGGGGCCAAUUACUGACACUGAGAAGCGAAAAGCCAUGGGGGAGCGAAACCAGGGA
rnacentral:rRNA from 1 species